rnacentral:sRNA from 1 species
CAGAAUGGAACAAAAGUGGGACUUUUAAAAUGUUGCCCUGUAAGAAGAGAAGAACGACAGUGACAGAGUCCCUACAGCAUAAAGGCAAUCAGGAGGAAAACAACGUAGACCUAGAAUCAGCUGUUAAACCAGAAUCUGACCAGGUUAAGGACUUGAGUUCUGUGUCACUGUCCUGGGAUCCAAGUCAUGGCAGAGUAGCUGGCUUCGAAGUACAAUCUGUGCAGGAUGCAGGAAAUCAGCUUGGUUUGGAGGAUACAUCUCUGAGCUCUGGGAUGCUCACCCAGAACACAAAUGUACCAAUUCUAGAAGGUGUUGAUGUGGCCAUCUCUCAGGGAAUCACCCUAACUUCCUUGGAGUCUUUUCACCCCCUUAAUAUACAUAUUGGUAAAGGAAAACUCCAGGCUACUGGCUCAAAGAGAGGGAAAAAAAUUACACUCAGGCCUGGGCCAGUUACCCAAGAAGACAGACGUGAUCAUCUUAUCCUAAAGGAGCCUUUUUCAGGAGAGCCUAGUGAAGAAGUCAAGGAAGAAGGAGGUGAGGUCUCAUAAUUCACUGCAACCUAUAAUUCCUGGCCUUAAAUGAUCCUGCUGCCUCAGCCUCCUAAAGUGCUGGGCUUACAGGGAAACCUCAAAUGAAUUCUGAAGGGGAGAUACCUUCACUGCCAUCAGGCAGCCAAUCUGCAAAACCAGUAAGCCAGCCCAGGAAAUCAACCCAGCCAGAUGUUUGUGCCCCUCCUCAAGAAAAGCCACUCAGGACUCUGUUUCACCAACCUGAGGAAG